CUGGAGUCCUGAAGAACAAGCAGCUGGUGGCCAGGUGGAGAGGAGAAGAGUGCUCCGGGAGAAGCACCAGCCUUGACGAAGGUUUGCAGGGACGAGGGCCUGCGGCUCCUCUAGGGGAAAGACCAUCGUCUCUUUCUAAUCUGUAAAUGAGAAGAAACACUGGAAAUUGUUUCCCAUUUGAACCAGUCGCUGCCCCCACACCUCAUCAAUCACCCAAGGCUCACGGAGAGAGGCCCACCACGCAGCUGCCGAGACCCCAGUGCCUGGCGCUGACAACAGAGAGCUGGACUCCAUUGUACCGAUGAUCUGGGGCCAGAUAAGAGCCAUUACCACCUUUCUUAAUUACAGAACUCCGAAGCAGGGCUGCUAGUCCCCAACAGGCAGAGCUGGGAGGAAAUGCGAAGAUCUGGGCUUCACCCUAUUUUAUUUAAUGAGUUAAAAUAUGAAAGCCCUUGGAACAGUGCCUAGCACAUAGCAAGAGCUGCAGAAGCCUUCGCUACUCUUAUUAUUAGUGCUGUCAUAUUUACAGGUAGAGCGGGGCCUUGCCCAGUUACACGGCAAGUGGCAGGCUGAGCUGGGACAGGUCCAGGCCAGGCCUCUUUCCAACGCAUCGUGCUGCCCUGGGGAGGGCCCCCCAGGCUUUCUUUACACUUGGUUUUGAUGUUUGGAGCUCUGAUGUAGGGUCAGUCCUAAAAAAGGCACAAUGAGAAGCUUAUUAUCUGAGGAGAGGUGGGACAAAGGCUGUCCCUUCUUCAUACAACCUCUCUAUUUGAUCUCAUCCCCAACAUCACUGUUGGCUAGGCAUCCCCAUGCUGUGGAUGGGAACUCGGAGUGCAGCAGACCACACCCAGCAUCUUCUCUCAGAAGACGCUCAACAAAUUUGAACUUCCCCGGUCCUCGGGGGGGGCACAUGCCUUGACUGAUGGAGACGUCAGUGUGGAAGUUUAUCCCCCACCCAACGCGACCUUUCUCCCCUCCCAGGGGUGCCUGGAGUCACCUAGCUCUGAGCAGCUCAAACCCUGAGGCCGGAUCUGACGAUGACGCAGAAAGCCAGUGCCUAGCCCGGAGCCUGGCGCACAACAGGUGCUUAUGAAGGAAGGAAUCCCGAUAACACAGCCAGGAAAAUACCUUGCUUGAACUGCAAGAAAACAGCCUGUUAGCCUCUGGUGAAAGUUGACUUAGGGAAUAUAAGCGUCAUAUUAUAUGGCGAACGGGUACAAGGAUAUUUGGAACCUUCCUUCUAAAACACCGAUCCGAAGGGAAGAGGGAGUAUCUGUUGCAAACCUUCCUGUUUCUGUCCUUGUUCCACGUGCUUCACGUGUGUAUCUCAUCUCACGGAGGACCUCCCUCACGGGGAUGUGAGGAGCGUUAUUAUCCCCACUUUACAGAUAAGGAAACUGAGGUUCAGAGAGUUUACAUGACAAGGUCCUGCAGCCAGUGUGUGGGUUCAAACCUAGUCUGUCUGGUUUUAAAGCCUAUUGUCUUCUCUGCACCACAACUGUCUCCUCAGGUCUUCUGUUUCCUUCUGAUGUUUUCCAAUAACCCUCAAUUAAUUUCAUGAUAAAAGGAAACACACUUUGAAAGUGUGUUGCGAAGAAAAAUAGAGAUCUUUCUAAAAUGCAGCAUUCUUACUCUGCUUUAGGUAUCCCUAGUACCCAAUUCCAGCAGGUGUGCAAUAAAUGAUUGACAACUGAAUGGACACAUGAGGGCACCAUCUGCCUGCCUGCCAGGCACCCCUUUCUUCCCAUGGGGCCUCCCCGUGCCCAAUUUUGCCUGCACUUCAGGCUUCCUCCCCCUCUGUCUAGCCUGCUCCUCGGAGAACUCAUUGGCUUUGUGGCAGGUCUGGAUUCCAGCGCUUCCCCCAUGUUUGGCCUGUCUUAGGAAUAAACAAGCUGCUCAGUUCCCCUUCUGGUACUCAUGGGGCAAGUCGUUUUUCCCUCUCUGGAUCUCCAUUCUAAGAUGUUAAGUGGUUAUCAAAUACAUGCUCCAGUUUCACUUUUAAUACAUUAGAGAGUAAUAAUGAUAACAAUGCUAGAUGUAAGUUUUAGGGCUUCCUAUGUGCCAGGUGCUCUGUUGAGUACUUCACGUGCAACGUCUUGAAUACUCACAAGGACCCUAUUGUAGAGGAUUGAAUAGUGUCCCCCGAAAGCAGUGUCCAAAUUCCAACCCUCGAUAACUGUGACUGUCCCCUUACUUGGAAAUAAGGUCUUUGCAGAUGUGAUUAAGUUACACAUUAGGGGAGGAGAUUAUCCUGGAUCUAGAGUGGGCUCUCAGUCCAUUGACUGGAGUCCUUACGAGAGAAAGGACAGGGAGAUUUAACAAAGAGACAAAGAGAAG
rnacentral:lncRNA from 1 species